rnacentral:rRNA from 1 species
AUUGAACGCUGGCGGCAGGCCUAAUACAUGCAAGUCGAGCGAGCGGCGGACGGGUGAGUAAUGUCUGGGAAACUGCCUGAUGGAGGGGGAUAACUACUGGAAACGGUAGCUAAUACCGCAUACGAUCAGAUGUGCCCAGAUGUGAUUAGCUAUUAGGUGGGGUAACGGCUCACCUAGGCGACGAUCCUUAGCUGGUCUGAGAGGAUGACCAGCCACAGGGGAACUGGGACACGUGCCAGACUCCUACGGGAGGCAGCAGUGGGGAAUAUUGCACAAUGGGCGCAAGCCUGAUGCAGCCAUGCCGCGUGUGUGAUGAGGGCCUUCGGGUUUAAAAGCAUUUUCAGCGGGGAGACGUUACCCGCAGAAGAAGCACCGGCUAACUCCGUGCCAGCAGCCGCGGUAAUUC